UUAAAUUGAAGAGUUUGAUCAUGGCUMARCUUGAACGCUGGCGUCAGGCCUAACACAUGCAAGUAGAACGGUAACCUGAAUCA
rnacentral:rRNA from 1 species